UAUAUAUAUAUACACGUCAACAUUUUUUCCCAAUAUAAAAAUACGGUGGCUCUUCACCACCACCAGUACAAAUGUUACGGAAAAUAUAUUCAGAAUAAGCUUAUCGAUCGAUCUCUUUGCUGUCCUCCCAUGACUACAGAAACGCUCAUCUUUCUUUUCCUGCUUUUCUCCCAAAGUUGCAAUGGAAGGGAUACAAGUCUCUGUGCCCCUUCAUGCGGCAAUAACAACAGCAUCAGUUACCCUUUCCGAUUACGAACUGAUCCAAACAAUUGCGGAGACCAUAGAUUUGAGCUUUCUUGUGAAAAUAAUUUCACUGUGUUAAAUUUAAACGGAGGAAGAUACUAUGUUCAGGGCAUCAAUUACGAUAACUUCACUAUCCGAUUGGUGGAUGCCGGAGUCCAUCAAUAUGAUUGCUCCUCCUUUCCUCGUUUUCCUUUAUCCUAUCAUGAGAUUGAUCCAUAUUCCUAUUAUAAAUACCAAUGGACAAAGUCAGAAGAAGACAAAUGGGCUGAGUUGAGACAACGUCCCAUGUUAUCGCAGAGGAUUAGUUUCAUCAAGUGCCCAAAUCCAGUGUACUCUCCCCUUUACGUGGACACCGCUCCUUGCGUUUUACGUGGAUUCAAUUCUUCUGUAUCUGCUUUGAAGAGGCACUACUCUUAUGUAAAUAUCGGAGACAUGAAGGCAUCCGAAUUGAUGGAGUCGUGCAGCGUGGAGAUGAUGAGUUUGUUUCCAGUUACGGCAAAGAAGAAUAUGUCCUUUAUUGAAAUUCACAGGGAACUUGUAUUUGGGUUUCAGCUUUCCUGGCACAGGUACAUCAAAUGUGAAAAGUGUGAUGAUAAUAGGUGCUAUCUGGACAGCAGAAAAAGUGUUCGAUGCAUGUACCGGUGGAGUAAGUAAUGCUUUCAACCAUUUUUCGUUCGAUUCAUAAAUCACACAAUAGGAAGAAAUGGCUGACUUUCCAGUUUAUUAUUAUUAUUAUUAUGAGAUAAAUACAUAAUGUAUAUAAUACAGGCAAAAUAUAUAUUAUUGAUAGUUAAGAUCUGCAUGAAGGAUCUAAUCUAUGCGAUGUAUGUUUAUUUUAUUUUUGUUUUGUUCUUUUUCAUAUGACCUAAUUACAAAAAUAAGCUAAAUAUUUUUUUGUAUUUUUGUAAUCUAAUUCAAACAAUUAAAUCUUCGCAUAAUUAGUCAGAUUUUCAAAUUUUAUAAAGAUUUGAAUUUUUUUUUAAAUUAG
rnacentral:misc_RNA from 1 species